rnacentral:rRNA from 1 species
AACGAACGCUGGCGGCAGGCUUAACACAUGCAAGUCGAGCGCCCCGCAAGGGGAGCGGCAGACGGGUGAGUAACGCGUGGGAAUCUACCCAUCUCUACGGAAUAACGCAUGGAAACGUGUGCUAAUACCGUAUACGUCCUUCGGGAGAAAGAUUUAUCGGAGAUGGAUGAGCCCGCGUUGGAUUAGCUAGUUGGUGGGGUAAAGGCCUACCAAGGCGACGAUCCAUAGCUGGUCUGAGAGGAUGAUCAGCCACACUGGGACUGAGACACGGCCCAGACUCCUACGGGAGGCAGCAGUGGGGAAUAUUGGGCAAUGGGCGCAAGCCUGAUCCAGCCAUGCCGCGUGAGUGAUGAAGGCCCUAGGGUUGUAAAGCUCUUUCACCGGUGAAGAUAAUGACGGUAACCGGAGAAGAAGCCCUGGCUAACUUCGUGCCAGCCGCCGCGGUAACAC